rnacentral:rRNA from 1 species
GACGAACGCUGGCGGCGUGCUUAACACAUGCAAGUCGAACGGAAAGGCCCUGCUUUUGUGGGGUGCUCGAGUGGCGAACGGGUGAGUAACACGUGAGUAACCUGCCCUUGACUUUGGGAUAACUUCAGGAAACUGGGGCUAAUACCGGAUAGGAGCUCCUGCUGCAUGGUGGGGGUUGGAAAGUUUCGGCGGUUGGGGAUGGACUCGCGGCUUAUCAGCUUGUUGGUGGGGUAGUGGCUUACCAAGGCUUUGACGGGUAGCCGGCCUGAGCGGGUGACCGGCCACAUUGGGACUGAGAUACGGCCCAGACUCCUACGGGAGGCAGCAGUGGGGAAUAUUGCACAAUGGGCGGAAGCCUGAUGCAGCAACGCCGCGUGCGGGAUGACGGCCUUCGGGUUGUAAACCGCCUUCGCCUGUGACGAAGCGUGAGUGACGGUAAUGGGUAAAGAAGCACCGGCUAACUACGUG